rnacentral:rRNA from 1 species
CUACGGGCGGCAGCAGUGGGGAAUAUUGGACAAUGGGCGAAAGCCUGAUCCAGCCAUGCCGCGUGUGUGAAGAAGGCCUUCGGGUUGUAAAGCACUUUCAGUGGGGAAGAAAGCCUUGGGGCUAAUACCCUCGAGGAAGGACAUCACCCACAGAAGAAGCACCGGCUAACUCCGUGCCAGCAGCCGCGGUAAUACGGAGGGUGCGAGCGUUAAUCGGAAUUACUGGGCGUAAAGCGCGCGUAGGCGGUCUGAUAAGCCGGUUGUGAAAGCCCCGGGCUCAACCUGGGAACGGCAUCCGGAACUGUCAGGCUAGAGUGCAGGAGAGGAAGGUAGAAUUCCCGGUGUAGCGGUGAAAUGCGUAGAGAUCGGGAGGAAUACCAGUGGCGAAGGCGGCCUUCUGGACUGACACUGACGCUGAGGUGCGAAAGCGUGGGUAGCAAACAGGAUUAGAUACCAGUAGUC